GUAAUUGCUGCAACCAAAACAGAAAAUAGGUAAGCCCUCCUAUUAUUCCAUACCCUUAAAGUGCAUCCUUUUUCUCACCUGGUAUUUCUCAUGCCCAUGAGUGAAGUUCAGGCCUAAGUCUAACUAUAGUCUCUUAGCUGUAAAACCUUUAUUUCCUGAAAUCAGCAUGGGGACAUACCUUCUUCCUUGAAGGCACAUCUGUAGCUUGGACAGCUUGAGAGAAAUCACUCUGUGACUCCCCAUGAGGCAUUAGGCCUGGACUGUAGUUCUGUUGUUCGGGUCGUCAGUCCUGCUCAUUUUCUCUGCCUCUAUCCCUGUCGUACCCCAUGCCCACUCUCCAUCACUGGAUGCGAUGACUACCCCUCAGCGGAUUCAGGCCCAACCUACUUCCUGGCUGAGCUUGACAGAGCCAGAGUCAAUGCUAACUACACCCGAAUGGAGGGAUUGCUCCCCAUGCCAGACCAGUGGCUCAGCCAAAGCUGUUGUUGAGAGCACAGUCCUUCCCCUCUACUCCUUCCAGAUGAAGGGAGUUCAAUCCGUGUAAUUUCUGGCCCUUCUCUGUGCAAUUUGGGAAGAAUGAGCAGUCAUGCUUGGCCCAGUUCUGCCCUCUUCUCUUGGGACCCAGCGCCUGUGAGUGGCAGUGCUCUCUGCUGCUCCCCUGGAGACAGGCUCUCCCCAACAAUGGGGCGGGGGAGGUGUUGUCCUUGCAGCCUUGCCUCUGAUAGUGUGAAUCCACCCCAUUCUGGGUUUGCUUUUUUUUUUUUUAGCAGACUCCAUAUGGCUUUUACUUUAAACUAUGGCUUCCAACAUAGGCUUUAUUAGUAAUAAAGGUGAUAUUCUGGAAUCCUUGCAGGCCAUUUUAUUUUGUGAUUUGUUCAAUUAUAGGCAGGGCAGUGGGGGAGAACCCAGUGCUCGAAGGCCUGGCCCCAGAGUGCGAGGGUCACCACUUUGUCCCAGCUUCGUCCUUCCUCCUGGAGCUGGAGUUGAUCCCUCCAUGCAGUGGCACUGGUCUCUCUGAGGUCUCCUGAAAAUAAGUGCCUGCCUCAGAGCCUUGGCACUUGUUUCCCCUCUGCCAGAACAUCCGUUGGCUCCUGCCCUCACAUCUUCAGGUCUCCCCUCAAAUGUCACCGUUUCAGUGAGGCCAUCCCUUAUGACCCAAUAAACAACCUCCCCAGCACUGCCCGGGCCCCUUGCCUUCUCCACUUUUCUCCACAGUAACGGAAAUGCUCUACAUGCAGCUCUUUGUUUGUUCAUUGUUAUCUCCCUCCACCUCAAGGUCAGCUCCAUGGGGGCAGGUUCUUUGAUUUGUUUCUUGCGACGUGCUUGGGGUCGGGACCAGUGCCUGACAUACAGGAGGAGCUUGAUAAAUACUUGCUGACUGGAAGACCGGUGAGCACAUGGAUGCGUGGGUACCAGGGUUUCUGCUUUGCUCCUUAGCCCUUAGUUCUCUGUAGCACCUGCCUGGUACCCCACCUAGUCUCUUCAGACUGAAGUCUCAGUUGAUGCUUUUGCCAGCUCUUUCUCUUGGUUCUGGAUUUUGAGGCUGAGAAACCAUGAGGAAUGUUUUCUUACCCCAACAACUGGAUCCACGAAGAGCCCACCCCAAACCAUGAUGGUGUGAAUGGAGAUGGGGGAGCAAGAGCAGGCAGAAGGCGGGGCCCAGUUUUUGCUGUGGCCAACUCUGGCAUCAUUCUGGGUCAGUUCUCUUAUGUAAAUCUCAACAGUAGUAUCCCUGACUCUAGCAGAGAGGGCUGAGCAGAGCAGGACACAUGUGUUAGUGGAUUGCAGGGGUUUGAGACUGCCUGGUGUGCUAGGAUGAGGGUGGGCUGUGGAGGCCAGCAGACCAGGAUUUACUGCUCAGCUCUGCCCUUUCCUUACUUUGGACAAUUCACUCCAAGCUCACUUUCUGUAUCUCUAAAGUAAGGAUUUUGAAUUGCAUUAAUAGGUUUGCUUUGAAAAUAGAUUCAGACAUUUACUUUUCAUUCAACAUUACUGAGUUCCUUCUAUGUGCUAGGUACCUUGCUCUGCUCUGAUGAUAUACAAGGAGGAAUAUGAUAUGGUCUCCAACCUCAGGGAGCCACUUCCCAGUCCAGGGAAGCAGACUGUUAGAACACAGAGUGCUGGUGCUGGGAUAGAGGCCCACAAAGAAGAGGGGCAUCUACCCUCCACAGGGGAGAGAGUGGGUUAAGGAGGGUUCCCAAAGGAAACAGCAUGCCAUCUACACUGGAUCUCAUGGAUGAACAGGACCCUGCCAGAUCAGCAAGGUGGGGGGAGAGGGGAGACAAUCUUCACAGGGUCUUUGAACUCACGGAAAUGAUAUGCAAAAUAUUGGGUGGGUGCAGUGUGCUUGGAAGAGGAUUCACCCCUCUUCCAGAUUCACAAAAGGUCAUGAGGCCCCUUCUCAAAGGCUAAGGACCACUCAUAAAAGUGAGAGAAGAGUGUUAAGUAGUAAAACCUUUGGGGGUACCACCUCUUGAAGGACAGGUCAUGAAAGCACCUGCAAAGGAACUGAGGUAUGGUCAGCAAAGUAGAAAAAAUAAAGCCCAGCAGGGGGUGGGAGUGUCCCAGAAGCCACAGGGAGAGCCUCAAGAGGUGUCAGAUACCCCAGAUAGCUCUGUUUCUCUGGGGACCCUGAUUGGUACAGGCUGCAAAGAAGAGGUGGAGAACACCCCACUAGGAAGGAAAAUAGAGGUCUCUGUGAAGCUUGAACACUUAACUGGGGCUUGAGGGAAAUUAAUAGAAAGGAAAGGUAGGCAGUACAGAGGAGACAGUUAAAAAUAGAUUAAGUUCGCUAAGGAGGCAGGAGGGAGGGGAUCUGAGAAUCAAUGGAGGGCACAGCCUUGGGCCUGGAGACAGAGACUCUCCUACAGAGGUAGGAGGGAAGGGAGAAGAAUAGAUGUGUGGGUGGGAAGUAGGAAGCAGAAGGAGUUAUUGUUUGAUGGCUUCUAUCAUCUCUGCAAAAUAGAAAGUGAGGUUAUCUAAUCAGCUAAUAAUUAUUGGGGUCUCUCUGCAUUAUUUCAUUUAGUCCCCACAACCCUGUGAGGUAGGCACCAUUGUCAUCCUCAGAGCAGUCGGGAGACUUGUUUGGGGGCACUGUUUCCAGGUGGCUCUUCUGAGCUCUGAAACCAGUUCCUCUGAUUUCAGGCCAGGUUCAUUAUCUGCCUUCGCUAUCUGCUGCGAAUGUAGGCGGAGGAGGUGGAGGGUGGGUGUUCAGGGAAGAGGUAAUCGUGCAGUAGCUGUUUGGGGAUGGAUGAGAGAGCUAACCGAGGAGAUAGGGGAUUGCCAGAAGGUUUGGAGAGUAAUAUGGAAACCCUGGAUUUACACAUGGUGACAGCUAACACAGUGCCGACCUCAGGGUAAUCACUUAUAAAUGCUUGUUCUUUUUCUCUUUUCUUCCUCCUCCAGGUACUCCCCACGUCUCUGUACUCCAGAAUAAAAUGGGGGUUGGUCCCAGAGGUACUGGAUUCUGGGUAGGAUCCAGGCAAUCUAGGUCCUGGGUCCAAGUGUCUAAAUACCUUACUACACUGCUUUUCAGUGCAUACCAGCUCUAAAAUUAAACAUCUUUAGGCAGACAUUCUCCAUUUAUUUUCUGACUCCAACAUUCCCUAUUAUUUAUAACCCACAUCUCUGCAUGUACAUUCUGUGCCAAUUCCUUGAAGGCACUGGAAUUUGCAUCUUCUGGAUGAAACCAAAUGUUUAGUUUAGACCCCUCUGGAAGAGUGACUGAAUAGAGAUGGGUCUUGCUUUGUGUAAUCCUAAUACUUAAGCAGCUAUUAAGACUAAUUUUUCAUGCAUUGCUCAUUCAAUAAGUCUCAUUAUUGUAUGGCUCCAUCUCAUAUAGGAAGAGCCAAAUGAAGAAGAAUUACAAAAUUAAACAACACAACCUGCACUUUACAUAAAGGCUCACUUCAGGGGACUUUAAAAAGUGAAGAAUUUUCCAAAUUACUUCUAGGCAGCUGAGAAGAAUGGUGGUCAUCUACAUCCAAAAAACGAGGAAAAUGCAGAUUAACAAGAAGAACGAAUAAAACUGUAGAAAGCCCAGGCCUGCAGCAUAACCAAAAGACAGAGAAUGCUAUAAACUUUAAAGUAUGUGUAAGUGGAAAAACAAACAUGCCACCCAGGCAAAAUGUGUCUCAUGCUUCUGUUGCAAGCCUUUGUGGAAAGCAAGACUGUUCGGAAAAGAGAAGAGAGGAGCAGGGAAUGGCCUGAUAUUGAUCUAGAGAAAGUCUAUUGUAAAUGUGAACAAACUGAAAAAGGAUCCUGGUAUGUCAGUGCACUGACUACAGGAAAUGGGCAUAAAAGCCUACAAACUUCCCUAAAUACCAAAAGAAAUGGAGGGGGGGGGGUGGUGAGUAAGGAAAACAUCACAUAGAGAAAGAAAUUCCUGAGUAUAUCUUACCCUCAAUAGUUACAUAAAACCCGACAGAUAUAAGACCAAGCAUGUAAGUCACAGCAAUAUAUGUGAAUGAGUAUAACUAACUUAUUAAAGGAAAUGGUUUUCAAAUGGGCUCACAAGGUAAGGCCCAACUCUCUGCUGUGUACAAGAUUCCGAAAGGCUAAAAUACAGGGAUGGCUCAAAGUGUACCAGGCAAAUGGAAAAAGGAUGAAAGAAGGGCUUGUAAGCCCUAUAUCAGGCCCAGUGCCAGUCGAACUACAAAUUAUUAAAAGUGACAGAAGACAUUUUAAAGGCUAAAAUCACAGUUUGCAAUAGAAAUAAUAGUUCUGAAUGAGCAUGUACCAAAUAACAUAGCAACUACCUUUAUGUAGCAGAAACUACAGGAAAUGCAAGAAAAGAUAGAAGACCACUAAAAAUAGAAAACUUUGAGACACACCUCUUGGAACAAAACAGGUCAAGUGGACAAAAGUCAGUAAGGUACAGACAACAUAAUCAAGGCACACCUUAUGGCUAUAUACAGAGCUUUAUAUCCUAAUUCCCUUUCUUCUUAAAUGCACAUGAAACAUUCAUAACAGUUGAUCAAAUAUUAGGCCAUAAAGAGAGCAUCGAUAAAUUCAAUGAAGUAGAUGUAUUACAUACAGUGCAGUAAUAUUAGAAAUGAAUAACAAAAUAAAAAUAAAAAGUCCCUUCUGCCUGGAAAUUAAAAGAAAACAACUAUUAAACAUUUUUUCAGUGAAAGAAGAAAUUAAUUUAUAACCCAAAUUAUAGAAUUUCUAAACAGCAAUCAAACAUUAAUUAUUAUAACUUAUGGGAUCUGAUUAGAGCAGUUAUUGGAAGAAAUUUUAUAACCUUAAGCACUUACAUCAAUAACAGUAAAAAACGGAAAGAAUGACAAUAAAUGAAUUGGAUUUGCUACUCAAAAGCUAGAAAAUGAACAAACAAGUUAACCAAAGGAAACCACAAGGAGGGUAAUGGUGAAGACAAAAGCAAUAAUUAAUGAUACAGAAAACUGAAAACAAGAGAUGUAAUGAUUGGGUCUUUGAAAAAAAGUAACCAAGUGUGCAAAACCUCCAGCUAACCUAAUCAAGAGGACAAGGGAGAAAGUCCACGUUGAGUCUGAGCCCGUGACUAGGGAGAGUGGAUAACAUACUUACGCACACAGAAAGGGGUCUUGCCCGACCAGUGAUGAUCCUGCUGGCAGAUGCGCACAGACAUGCCGAUCAGGCGGAAGCCGGCAUUGCACUGGUAGCAUUGACUGAACAUCUACUGAAUGGAGGGCACCUGGUCUACAUUAAGGCAGUCAAAGCCCAGCUGAGUUGAGUUGGAAAUGACUAUGCACAAACAGGUGAUUUGGCUAAACCCACCUUUCCUUCUCCUUGAGUGGCAAGAGACACAGACAACUUAACCUAGGCCCUAAUAAAAUUACAGUAAAGACUGGUAAAGCAGAAGAGCCUAUAACAAAAAGCAAAAUGGGAGGAUCAGCAGCAGAGGAGACUUAAAAAAAACUUCGGAAGAUGGAUUGUAGAUAGAAGUGUGCCGAGAAUGAAGUGGAGCUGAGAAGCUGCAGAAAUACUUGGAUCCCCACUGAUAUUCUGCAUGAGGAGUCAGGCAGUCUGGAGACAGCAGGUGAAGGAGGUAGAUGGCGGCUGCUUCUCACGGCUUGCGGUCCUGCUCUUCCCUUGUGGAUAACUAAGACGACAGAGGAUAACUUCCUAGUCUGAGACCUGAUCUCCAUGCCAAAACACGGUCCACAAACUCUGAGGCAGUACAUAAUAUUGAGACUAUGGCAGAAAAGACAACUUUCCCAUGCUGGUGGAAGCGAAGACAAACGUUCUGGAGAGCAGUAAAUGUCAAAAGCUGCAGAUUCUGCACAGGGCUCGAGAUAUUAUGGACCCUCAAUAUAUGUUCGCUGAAAGAAUGAAUUAUCAAUGAGGAAACCCAUAUUUGGAAGUGAUGGGUCCUGGGACAAACCCAAGUGAUGUGAGAAGGAUCGGAGCCACUGGGCACCCCCUUUCCAAGGAUCCAGGAGCAGGCCUAGUUUUCAGAUGGCAGCACAAGAUUCAAGAAGCCUGGAUCAUUGAGUCACCAGCAUUAUAGUCACUGCACUAUAGCAAAUUUUGCCUGAAGGAGAAAUAAACUUUUGUUGUGUUAAGCCACUGAGAUGUGGGGAUUGCUUGUUAAUGUAACAUAUGCCUGACCUAUCCUGACUAAUGCACUGAAGUAUAUCUGUUAAUUAUGCUUUUAGUAAGCUGUAACUUUACAUAGUCCUUGUCUGUCUGAAGAUUUCAUUAAUA